UAGAUACUCCCUCCGUUCGGAAUUACUUGUCUCGGAAAUGAAUGUAUCUAGAACUAAAAUACAUCUAGAUACAUCCAUUUCCGAGACAAGUAAUUCCGAACGGAGGGAGUACAUA
rnacentral:pre_miRNA from 1 species